rnacentral:rRNA from 1 species
GUUGGAAUGACCGUGAGAACCCCUCUCAGGUUCAGGAAGCUUCCAGCGGUUUCUUUCUCGCCCUGGACUACUUUCCCCUCUCUCUUCCCCCAGAUCAGCUCCAGAGCUCUCCCGGCGACCGGCGACCGGCGCACCUCGUCUCGCCGGCACUUCUCCCCUUCCGGCGCAGCUCUUCGACGGAUCACCUCACUCGCCACAUCGGCAGCAGAUGGCAGAGCCCGGCGCCGGCGGUGACCUUUGGGCGGUCCUUGGACGCGCUCUGUUCAUGUUGGUGACCUCCCUUUCCCCGAUCGCAGCGUCGUACGGCGUCUUUCUGCUGCGCAACAACUUCAGGCGGCCUAAGCAGAAGAAGAUGAAGGGGGAGCAGGAUCUGCGGCGGGACGAGCUUUUCCGGCGCGAGCAGGAGCUCCGGGCACAGGUGGCCGGCCUGCAGGCCGCCCUUGCCCGGAAGCACGCUCUUGCCCGUAAGUGACGGAGGAUAAGGACAAGGAGGUCUUGCAGCUCUUGCUCUGUGCUUUUAGUUCUUUGUUGGUGAUUGGUGUGCUCGUGUGAACCUCAAUUGUGCCCGUCUGACGAUUAAUCGUGUGCCCUAGGAGUAGGAAGCGAUGCCCCUUGCUUGUUUACAAGCAUCUGAUGCCUGUCACCAACUUGAUCUAGUUUUAUUAGUAUGUACUUUGAACUAGCCUGUGUCAAGUUUUAUUAGUAUGUACUGGAGUAGUAGUUUGAAC